AACGCAAAGGAGGCCAAGGGUCCCAGGAGUUCGAUCGGUAACUUGGGGGUG
rnacentral:rRNA from 1 species